AUAAAAGCGGUGAAAGAAAGUAGUAGAAAUAUCUAUUGUUUUCAGAGAGUGGAUGGUAGGUGCAAAUCCAUAACAAUGUAUUUCGAAUCCGUUCUUGAGCUGUCAAGGUGAAAUUAUAGUAUCCUUGAUCGUUUAGUCUACGUUACAGACUGAGAGAGGGCCUUUUGGUCAAUCAGGGUGGCAACGCGGAAGCAUAAGCUUUCGUCCCUUUU
rnacentral:ncRNA from 1 species